rnacentral:rRNA from 1 species
GAAGAGAGAGUUAAAGAGCACGUGAAACCACUAGGAACGAAGCGGAUGGAGUUGACGAAAUUAACAGUAUUCAGGGCAGUGCAGUCGCCUUACAGCGCGCGCUGCGGUGUUUAGCCGUAGCCGUGUUGUGCAGUGUGGCUGUGCUGUCUGCAUUUGCUGUUGGUAUGUGCCGAGAGGUCUGCGUGCCUCUUCCGAACUGUUGCGUGUUGCCCUUCGCUUCGGCGCAGGUGUCUUGCGCGGCAGGGAUGUUGAUGGUGCGUAGGCUGCCUUGUGUGUGGUCACUAGCGUUUCGCGCGAUGUGCGUGGCAGUGUGCGUUGUGCGUGAGCGGUCGCGUGCGAUUUGUUUGCGAUUUCAGCGUACAUUGUCGCGUUCUGUCGCCCUAGUGUUGCCAUCUCGGUAUGAAAAGUCAGCCACCCAUCCGACCCGUCUUGAAACACGGACCAAGAAGUCUAGCAUGUGCGCGAGUCAUUGAGUGUAAAAACUUAAAGGCGAAAUGAAAGUGAAGGCCGACUUGGUGCGGCUGAUAUGGGAGUUGUGUUCGUGCGCGUUCGCAAUGCACCAUAGCCCCAUCCCGUGAGCUUGCUCUGGGGUGGAGGAAGAGCGCACAUGCUGGGACCCGAAAGAUGGUGAACUAUGCCCGAGCAGGAUGAAGUCAGAGGAAACUCUGAUGGAAGUCCGAAGCGGUUCUGACGUGCAAAUCGAUCGUCUGACUUGGGUAUAGGGGCGAAAGACUAAUCGAACUAUC